UUAUUAUUAUUAUGUCUACAGGUUAUGCAACAUCAUUGAUGAAGGCCCUUCGGGAAAGCUACACCAAAUCACCUGCAGCUCUUCGAGAGACAAGUCCAAUGAUUUAGCUGUAAGUAUUUAUCUUUUUUUCCUUCUGUCCCUGUCCUCUCAUUUGGUGGUGGUUUCCUGCAUGCUGCAUGUUUUGUUUUUUCUUUGUGUGCUGUUGCUUUGGUUUUACUUUGCACAAAAUUACUUUUUUUCGUCUUUGUGGCAAUAAUUGUCGCUGUACCCCAUUCAAGGGGUCCUGCAUGCUGCAUGUCUGCUCCUCUGUCUGUUAUUUGCAUGGAAUUUGUUGUAUGUAAUUAAAAAUAAUUUACCAAUCAUUUUACCUGUGCCUUGUCAACCUCUGUGUGCGGUGUUGUCUGGGCUCACUGUGUGUCUGCUUCAUGUGCUUUUGCAUGCGUCACUGUGUGUGCGUGUGUGUAAACAAUGUGCAAACGUUUCAGUUC